UACGAAGGUCCCAAGCGUUAUCCGGAUUUAUUGGGUUUAAAGGGUGCGUAGGCGGACUGUUAAGUCAGUGGUGAAAGCUCCAUGCCUAACAUGGAAAAUGCCAUUGAUACUGACGGUCUUGAGUACAUUUGAAGUGGGCGGAAUGUGUCAUGUAGCGGUGAAAUGCUUAGAUAUGACACAGAACACCGAUUGCGUAGGCAGCUCACUAAACUGUAACUGACGCUGAGGCACGAAAGCGUGGGGAGCAAACAGG
rnacentral:rRNA from 1 species